UGGGGAAUCUUGCACAAUGGGGGAAACCCUGAUGCAGCGACGCCGCGUGAGCGAUGAAGGUUUUCGAAUCGUAAAGCUCUGUCCUAUGGGAAGAUAAUGACGGUACCAUAGGAGGAAGCCCCGGCUAACUACGUGCCAGCAGCCGCGGUAAUACGUAGGGGGCGAGCGUUGUCCGGAAUUACUGGGCGUAAAGGGUUCGCAGGCGGCAUGACAAGUCCGAUGGAAAAGGCGAAAGCUCAACUUUCGUAAGCAUCGGAAACUGACAAGCUUGAGUGAAGGAGACGCAAGUGGAAUUCCUAGUGUAGCGGUGGAAUGCGUAGAUGUUAGGAGGAAUACCGGUGGCGAAGGCGACUUGCUGGACUUCAACUGACGCUGAGGAACGAAAGCGUGAGUAGCAAACAGG
rnacentral:rRNA from 1 species